rnacentral:lncRNA from 12 species
UAACUGGUUCUAAGCAACUUCAUAAAGGUUAAGUGUGAGGGAAAGGUAACUAGUAAUUUAAAAUUCACUUGCUCAUUUAUUCCUUUCUAGUUCUACAAGAUAAAAUGAUAUACAGAUGGAGAAAAAAAAUCAGCCACUAAAAAAGGAAAGGAAAUUCUUUCUCCUAUCUCCUCCCUGACUGAUUACAAACAACCAGCUUCUGCUCGGCAUUUGGAGAAAGACAUUUCUUAAGGAAUUUGGCCAGCUCUCAGCUAUGUAUGACAGAAAAGGCAACCUUAAAAGAAGAGAGUUAUGAAGAAAAUGAUUUGUUUCAGUGCAUGGCAUUGUAGAAGAAGACCAGAAAAUUAAGACUGCAUAAGGACCAAAGCUUCAUUGCUUCAAGCAUUUAGGUCAUAGAACUAUUGCUUGAGCAGAUAUGAAAUUAGCCUAAAGAAAACAUCUGAGCUAUGUUAUGGAAACUACCCAAAAGUAAAUUUUAAUACAUAUGUGUUUUAUGUUUUACAUGGUAAUAUUUUGCUUUUAAAUAUUACCUUUUUAUACAAUUAAAAAUUUUGACAUACUCUAUAGCAUACUCUCAAUCUUUUUCAUAAUUUUCUCCAAGAAGAAAUUAUUAUGACACUAACAAAAAAAAUUAAAUACCUAGGAAUUCAUAGAUUUGAUUAUGGAGGAACAAAGUCAUUUUAAUAUAAAUUUUUUUCACCCUCCUAGGACAAUCAUUUUGCU